rnacentral:tRNA from 1 species
GUGGAUGUAGUUCAGUUGGUUAGAGCGCCAGAUUGUGGCUCUGGAGGUCGUGGGUUCGAAUCCCACCAUCCACC